CGCCAUGCUGACCGGUCGCAUGCGGGAGAGGCUCCUGCACAAUCUGGCCCUUUAGAACGCAAAACAUGGCACAUCGCAGCCAGAAAUGCAGCACAGUGAACAGGCAGCUGUGGGCGCUACUGCUGACCCCAAGAUCGGGAGUUUUGAGGCCCCUGAAGGCUGCAAGAAACUUUGGGGCCUGCGGCCUACGCGGGAGGGGAGCGGGAUGGACGGCCGCCGUCCUGUCUCCAACUCUAGCAACCACGCAGCAGCACUGAAACACUCCUCACGGGUCCCG
rnacentral:lncRNA from 1 species